AUUGAACGCUGGCGGCAGGCCUAACACAUGCAAGUCGAACGGUAACAGGAAGCAGCUUGCUGCUUCGCUGACGAGUGGCGGACGGGUGAGUAAUGUCUGGGAAACUGCCUGAUGGAGGGGGAUAACUACUGGAAACGGUAGCUAAUACCGCAUAACGUCGCAAGACCAAAGAGGGGGACCUUAGGGCCUCUUGCCAUCGGAUGUGCCAGAUGGGAUUAGCUAGUAGGUGGGGUAACGGCUCACCUAGGCGACGAUCCCUAGCUGGUCUGAGAGGAUGACCAGCCACACUGGAACUGAGACACGGUCCAGACUCCUACGGGAGGCAGCAGUGGGGAAUAUUGCACAAUGGGCGCAAGCCUGAUGCAGCCAUGCCGCGUGUAUGAAGAAGGCCUUCGGGUUGUAAAGUACUUUCAGCGGGGAGGAAGGGAGUAAAGUUAAUACCUUUGCUCAUUGACGUUACCCGCAGAAGAAGCACCGGCUAACUCCGUG
rnacentral:rRNA from 1 species